AUAAUGUGUGAGACAAUCUUCCCCACUAUCUAGUACCGGUAAGAGCUGGAGAGCUAUAUCCAGAGCUGGGAAAAAUCAGGAGGAGGACAAAAGCAUGCUCUGUGAAGGAUGGGGAAAAGAGCCAGCACAAUGGUGGUCUGAUAAAAAGAAGGCUGAUGCUGACAAAGACAGUCUUCAAAUAUGUGAGAGACUUUUGAAAACAGGAAAUGAAUAAUCACUUCUCUACAUCCAUGACAGACAUGAGGACAGUUACAAGACUGAAACAAGACAGAUAAGAGGAAAAUAUUUCUAACGCUGAGAACAGAAAAAGGAUGGGAGAUACUGCAGAAAACCUGACUCUAAAAGCAAAAGUCCAUUGAGAAAGGGAUAGAUACAAAAGAGCCUGCCCCAGGGCUGUACAACGUGCAGCUGGCUUCCUAAGUCCUCCCCUUCCUUAUCUCAUGUUUCUACACUAUUCAAGCAAGAUGAAAUGCUGUAUUUGCUUCUUUUAUCCUGUCCCAGACCCGACAUGAGAAGAAACAAGGGAAUGAUUUCUCCUUUGCCUGUCAGCCAACAGAAAUAAAUUCAGUGGAGCCUGCCUGGCUUGGUUUCCUCCAUAGCGCAUGCAUUUUAGGACUGACAUGCAUGACCACAGGAGCAAACAUUCAUUGUCUUCCCUUCUGUUUGGCUGCCUGAGUACUGGAGAUAGAGCUUCUCACAGAACAGAUUUUAUCAACACCAGUUUCUGUUUCCAUGAAUGUUGUGUCUUUUAUAUUAGAUUACUGAAUGUUUCCAACAGUAAGAAACUAGUGAGUUGGCUGUGAUUCAUUUUAUGAUCUUUGACUGCAAGGUGGUUACUGUGAAAUGUGACUGAUAGAACUAAGGCACCAUAAAAAUGGUUUCCUAUAAACUGUCUUCACACAAGAUAGCUAAUCGUCAAAAGGGUAAAUCUGGGUCCAGGUCAGAAAUGAUCUGCAAACAAUAUAUUAUCCUAAGAAACCCGUGAUAUCCAUGCACUCAUCUCCUACAGGCUAGAUCAUAACCUGUCUGUCAAGCCACUGUUGAUUGCAGAAGGAAAUGUGGUUGUUUUUUUUUUUUUUUUUUUUUUUUGUGGUAAGGCUUCCACAGCUGAGCAGACCUAAAUAGCUCUGCUUUAUGGAUGCUUUUAGCCAGCCUCAUCAUUUUAGUACAGGAAUGCUCAACAUCCCGCAAGAACACAUCUUGCAUAAUUCUUGCAGCCAGCUCAUAACUUUAAAGGGCACAGAUUUCCUCUAAGACUGAAAGAAAAGAAAGUGUGCUAAAUAUAUCUGUUAACAUUAGCACUUUGUGACUGUGCUAGCCAAGAGCUGGCAGUCACAUUCUCUCAGCCAACAAAGUGUUCCUUUGUCCAAAGCCCUCCUCUCAUCAGCCACAAGAGACCAUAGCCUACAUCGGUUUCAAGUGUGUUUGGAUGUGCAGGAAGCUGCAAGAAGCUGCAUGAACCAUUCUGACAGCACCCGCCUGCAGGUGUUGCUCAGAUCUGUGCGGCAACGGGCAGUAGGCACAAAAGAAAAAUAGAUGUCUGUAUAACUCUUUCCGUAAGUCCAUGUGUGUCAGAAAAGAUGGCAUUUUCACUAAACACUGAACCUCGUGUGCCCACGUUGCACAAAUGAUCUGCACGCAUACAGUAAAAUCAGCACUCCUGGAAGAGUUGAGCAACCCCUGUGGUCAAGGCUGCUGUUUCUAUGCAGUAACACCCACCUCAUGGCACGGAGGAGCUGUCUGGGGCUGGCUCGGUCUGACCCCAUCAGAUGGUAGCUGUCUUCCACUGAUUUCUUCUUCUUCAGCUACAUGAAAAGGAUAAAUAGCCCUUGUCUGAAAGGACACCUGUUUACACAAAAUUACACGGAAAAUUGUGGUGAAGCUGAUGAUAUUUGAUAGAUCAUGUCCUACUCUGUUACUUUCAUUACAACACUGUUUCUCCUCACUGAUUACCUGUUCACCACGCCUUACGAUGACCGUGAUGGCUCCUACAGAAUGGUACUUAAUAGCCUAACAAUUCUGUUAAUCACUCAGUUCUGCUACACAAUAAAUACACUUCUGC
ensembl:lncRNA